rnacentral:rRNA from 1 species
UACGUAGGUGGCAAGCGUUGUCCGGAAUUAUUGGGCGUAAAGCGCGCGUAGGCGGGAGAGUAAGUCUGUUGUUUAAAUUCGGGGCUCAACCCCGUCAAGCAAUGGAAACUGCUUUUCUUGAGUGCAGGAGAGGAAAGGGGAAUUCCCAGUGUAGCGGUGAAAUGCGUAGAUAUUGGGAGGAACACCAGUGGCGAAGGCGCCUUUCUGGACUGUGUCUGACGCUGAGGAGCGAAAGCCAGGGGAGCAAACG